AGUGGAACUGCCGAGUCAUAUGGUAGUUCUACGGUCAACUUUUUGAGGAACUGUGAAACUCUUUUCCAUAGUGGCUGUACCAUUUUGCCUUCCCACUAGCAGU
rnacentral:pre_miRNA from 1 species